rnacentral:rRNA from 1 species
UACGUAGGGUGCGAGCGUUAAUCGGAAUUACUGGGCGUAAAGCGUGCGCAGGCGGUUUGUAAGCCAGAUGUGAAAUCCCCGGGCUUAACCUGGGAAUGGCAUUUGGGACUGCAAGGCUUGAGUGCGGCAGAGGAGACUGGAAUUCCUGGUGUAGCAGUGAAAUGCGUAGAUAUCAGGAGGAACACCGAUGGCGAAGGCAGGUCUCUGGGCUGAACACUGACGCUCAUGCACGAAAGCGUGGGGAGCAAACAGG